rnacentral:rRNA from 1 species
AGUGAACGCUGGCGGUAGGCCUAACACAUGCAAGUCGAACGGAAGCACAGUAAGAGCUUGCUCUUACGGGUGGCGAGUGGCGGACGGGUGAGGAAUACAUCGGAAUCUACUUUUUCGUGGGGGAUAACGUAGGGAACCUUACGCUAAUACCGCAUCCGACCUACGGGUGAAAGCAGGGGAUCUUCGGCCCUUGCGCGAUUGAUUGAGCCGAUGUCGGAUUAGCUAGUUGGCGGGGUAAAGGCCCACCAAGGCGACGAUCCGUAGCUGGUCUGAGAGGAUGAUCAGCCACACUGGAACUGAGACACGGUCCAGACUCCUACGGGAGGCAGCAGUGGGGAAUAUUGGACAAUGGGCGCAAGCCUGAUCCAGCCAUACCGCGUGGGUGAAGAAGGCCUUCGGGUUGUAAAGCCCUUUUGUUGGGAAAGAAAAGCAGCAGGUUAAUACCCCGCUGUUCUGACGGUACCCAAAGAAUAAGCACCGGCUAACUUCGUG